rnacentral:rRNA from 1 species
GAUGAACGCUGGCGGCGUGCCUAAUACAUGCAAGUCGAGCGAACGGACGAGACGCUUGACUCUCUGAUGUUAGCGGCGGACGGGUGUGUAACAUGUGGAUAACCUACCUAUACGACUGGGAUAACUUCGGGAAACCGGAGCUAAUACCGGAUAAUAUUUUGAACCGCAUGGUUCAAAAGUGAAAGACGGUCUUGCUGUCACUUAUAGAUGGAUCCGCGCUGGAUUAGCUAGUUGGUAAGGUAACGGCUUACCAAGGCAACGAUGCAUAGCCGUCCUGAGAGGGUGAUCAGCCACACUGGAACUGAGACACGGUCCAGACUCCUACGGGAGGCAGCAGUGGGGAAUCUUCCACAAUGGGCGAAAGCCUGACGGAGCAACGCCGCGUGAGUGAUGAAGGUCUUCGGGUCGUAAAACUCUGUUAUUAGGGAAGAACAUAUGUGUAAUUAUCUGUGCGCGUCAUGACGGUACCUAAUCAGAAAGCAACGGCUAACUACGUG